rnacentral:rRNA from 1 species
AGUGAACGCUGGCGGUAGGCCUAACACAUGCAAGUCGAACGGCAGCACAGUAAGAGCUUGCUCUUACGGGUGGCGAGUGGCGGACGGGUGAGGAAUACAUCGGAAUCUACUUUUUCGUGGGGGAUAACGUAGGGAGACUUACGCUAAUACCGCAUACGACCUACGGGUGAAAGCAGGGGAUCUUCGGACCUUGCGCGAUUGAAUGAGCCGAUGUCGGAUUAGCUAGUUGGCGGGGUAAAGGCCCACCAAGGCGACGAUCCGUAGCUGGUCUGAGAGGAUGGUCCGCCCACCCGGAAACGGAGAACCGGCCCAAACCCCCAGGGGAGCCAGGGGGGGGAAAUUUUGGAAAUGGGGGGCAGCCUUAAUCCACCACUACGGGGUGGGGAAAAAAGCCUUUCGGGUUUAAAACCCUUUUUUUUGGGAAAAAAAAGUGGCAGGUUAACCCCCCGCUUUUUUGCGGUAACCAAAAAAAAAAGCACGGCUAACUUCGUG